GUCUAUGGAAUAGCUCAGUCCGCAGAGCAUGUGACUCUCAAUUUCAAGGUUGUGGGUUCAAGCCCCACGUUGGGCA
rnacentral:tRNA from 1 species